rnacentral:rRNA from 1 species
GACGAACGCUGGCGGCGUGCCUAAUACAUGCAAGUCGAGCGGAUGAAAGAGGAGCUUGCUCCUCUAGAUUCAGCGGCGGACGGGUGAGUAACACGUGGGCAACCUGCCCUGUAGAUUGGGAUAACUCCGGGAAACCGGGGCUAAUACCGAAUAAUCCUUCGGACCUCAUGGUCCGAUGUCGAAAGAUGGUUUCGGCUGUCACUACAGGAUGGGCCCGCGGCGCAUUAGCUAGUUGGUGAGGUAACGGCUCACCAAGGCCACGAUGCGUAGCCGACCUGAGAGGGUGAUCGGCCACCCGGGGACUGAGACACGGCCCAGACUCCUACGGGAGGCAGCAGUAGGGAAUCUUCCACAAUGGACGAAAGUCUGAUGGAGCAACGCCGCGUGAGUGAAGAAGGUUCUCGGACCGUAAAACUCUGUUGUGAGGGAAGAACAAGUACCGGAGUAACUGCCGGUGCCUUGACGGUACCUCAUUAGAAAGCCACGGCUAACUACGUGCCAGCAGCCGCCGUAA